rnacentral:rRNA from 1 species
CAUGCAAGUCGAGCGGAUGACGGGAGCUUGCUCCUUGAUUCAGCGGCGGACGGGUGAGUAAUGCCUAGGAAUCUGCCUGGUAGUGGGGGACAACGUUUCGAAAGGAACGCUAAUACCGCAUACGUCCUACGGGAGAAAGCAGGGGACCUUCGGGCCUUGCGCUAUCAGAUGAGCCUAGGUCGGAUUAGCUAGUUGGUGGGGUAAUGGCUCACCAAGGCGACGAUCCGUAACUGGUCUGAGAGGAUGAUCAGUCACACUGGAACUGAGACACGGUCCAGACUCCUACGGGAGGCAGCAGUGGGGAAUAUUGGACAAUGGGCGAAAGCCUGAUCCAGCCAUGCCGCGUGUGUGAAGAAGGUCUUCGGAUUGUAAAGCACUUUAAGUUGGGAGGAAGGGCAGUAAGCUAAUACCUUGCUGUUUUGACGUUACCGACAGAAUAAGCACCGGCUAACUCUGUGCCAGCAGCCGCGGUAAUACAGAGGGUGCAAGCGUUAAUCGGAAUUACUGGGCGUAAAGCGCGCGUAGGUGGUUUGUUAAGUUGGAUGUGAAAGCCCCGGGCUCAACCUGGGAACUGCAUCCAAAACUGGCAAGCUAGAGUACGGUAGAGGGUGGUGGAAUUUCCUGUGUAGCGGUGAAAUGCGUAGAUAUAGGAAGGAACACCAGUGGCGAAGGCGACCACCUGGACUGAUACUGACACUGAGGUGCGAAAGCGUGGGGAGCAAACAGGAUUAGAUACCCUGGUAGUCCACGCCGUAAACGAUGUCAACUAGCCGUUGGAAUCCUUGAGAUUUUAGUGGCGCAGCUAACGCAUUAAGUUGACCGCCUGGGGAGUACGGCCGCAAGGUUAAAACUCAAAUGAAUUGACGGGGGCCCGCACAAGCGGUGG